rnacentral:rRNA from 1 species
CCUACGGGGGGCUGCAGUGGGGAAUAUUGGACAAUGGGGGGAACCCUGAUCCAGCCAUGCCGCGUGUGUGAAGAAGGCCCUCGGGUUGUAAAGCACUUUCAGUGAGGAAGAACGCCUGGUGGUUAAUACCCAUCAGGAAAGACAUCACUCACAGAAGAAGCACCGGCUAACUCCGUGCCAGCAGCCGCGGUAAUACGGAGGGUGCGAGCGUUAAUCGGAAUUACUGGGCGUAAAGCGCGCGUAGGUGGCUUGAUAAGCCGGUUGUGAAAGCCCCGGGCUCAACCUGGGAACGGCAUCCGGAACUGUCCAGCUAGAGUGCAGGAGAGGAAGGUAGAAUUCCCGGUGUAGCGGUGAAAUGCGUAGAGAUCGGGAGGAAUACCAGUGGCGAAGGCGGCCUUCUGGACUGACACUGACACUGAGGUGCGAAAGCGUGGGUAGCAAACAGGAUUAGAUACCCCGGUAGUC